UACGGGGGGGGCAAGCGUUGUUCGGAAUUACUGGGCGUAAAGGGCUCGUAGGUGGCCAACUAAGUCGGACGUGAAAUCCCUCAGCUUAACUGGGGAACUGCGUCCGAUACUGGAUGGCUUGAGUUUGGGAGAGGGAUGCGGAAUUCCAGGUGUAGCGGUGAAAUGCGUAGAUAUCUGGAGGAACACCGGUGGCGAAGGCGGCUUUCUGGACAGAUACCGACGCUGAGGCACGAAAGCUAGGGGAGCAAACAGG
rnacentral:rRNA from 1 species